rnacentral:RNase_P_RNA from 1 species
GACAGUCGGAUGAUUGCGGGAGGAAACUCACGAGGAAAGUCCGAGCACCGCAGAGCAAGGGCGCAGGGUAACUCCCUGUGGAGGCGACUUCAAGGAAAGUGCAACAGAAAUAAACCGCAACGCUUGCGUUGUAAGGGUGGAAAUGUAGGGUAAGAGCCUACAAACGCUAUGGUGACUGUGCGUUCAUGUAAACCCCGUCCGGUGCAAGAAAUGAGAUUAAAUACCUGCUCGGUAUCUCGAUAUGUUCGCUGGAGGUCGGCGGUAACGUCGAUCGUAGAUAGAUAAUCAUCCAAGACAGAACUCGGCUUACAGACUGUGC